rnacentral:snRNA from 1 species
GAUUGCGAUCAUACCGCGAGAU